rnacentral:rRNA from 1 species
GAUGAACGCUGGCGGCGUGCCUAAUACAUGCAAGUCGAGCGAACGGACGAGAAGCCUGCUUCCCUGAUGUUAGCGGCGGACGGGUGAGUAACACGUGGAUAACCUACCUAUAAGAAUGGGAUAACUUCGGGAAACCGGAGCUAAUAACGGAAAAAAUUUUGAACCGCAUGGUUCAAAAGUGAAAGACGGUCUUGCUGUCACUUAUAGAUGGAUCCGCGCUGCAUUAGCUAGUUGGUAAGGUAACGGCUUACCAAGGCAACGAUGCAUAGCCGACCUGAGAGGGUGAUCAGCCACACUGGAACUGAGACACGGUCCAGACUCCUACGGGAGGCAGCAGUAGGGAAUCUUCCGCAAUGGGCGAAAGCCUGACGGAGCAACGCCGCGUGAAUGAUGAAGGUCUUCGGAUCGUAAAACUCUGUUAUUGGGGAGGAACAUAUGUGUAAGUAACUGUGCACAUCUUGACGGUACCUAAUCAGAAAGCCACGGCUAACUACGUG